rnacentral:rRNA from 1 species
CGGCGGACGGGUGAGUAACACGUGGAUAACCUACCUAUAAGACUGGGAUAACUUCGGGAAACCGGAGCUAAUACCGGAUAACAUAUUGAACCGCAUGGUUCAAUAGUGAAAGGCGGCUUUGCUGUCACUUAUAGAUGGAUCCGCGCCGUAUUAGCUAGUUGGUAAGGUAACGGCUUACCAAGGCAACGAUACGUAGCCGACCUGAGAGGGUGAUCGGCCACACUGGAACUGAGACACGGUCCAG